UCAAGCUACAAAGAGCACAAGGGGAAUGCCUUGGCACCGAGAGCCGAAGAAGGACGUGACUAACUGCGAUAAGCUGCGGGGAGCCGUAAGUAGGCUUUGAUCCGCAGAUUUCCGAAUGGAGCAAUCCGGCAAGAGGAAAGUCUUGUCAUCAUAUACUGAAUACAUAGGUAUAUGAGGGGAACCGCCUGAACUGAAACAUCUAAGUAGGGCGAGGAAGAGAAAUCAACUGAGAUUCCGUAAGUAGUGGCGAGCGAACGCGGAAGAGGCCAAACCGAGAGUAGUAAUACUUUCGGGGUUCGGACAGAAUACGGUAUUGUAAAGGUUUAGUGGAAUGGAAUGGGAAGUCCAACCGAAGAAGGUGAGAGUCCUGUACACGAAAAGCCUGAACAGCCAUCUGUAUCCAGAGUACCGCCGGACACGUGAAACCCGGUGGGAAUAUGGGGGGACCAUCCUCCAAGCCUAAAUACUACUCGGUGACCGAUAGUGAAGAAGUACUGUGAAGGAAAGGUGAAAAGUACCCCUGACGGGGAGUGAAAAAGAACCUGAAACCUUGUGUUUACAAGCACCGAAAGCUCAUCAAAGAGCGAUCGGGUACCUUUUGUAGAAUGGUCCGGCGAGUGAAUGUAACCGGCGAGGUUAAGCACUUAAGGUGUGAAGCCGCAGCGAGAGCAAGUCUGAAUAGGGCGUAUGAAGUCGGUUGUAUUCGACCCGAAACCGGGUGACCUACCCAUGGUCAGGUUGAAGUAAAGGUAAAACUUUAUGGAGGACCGAACCGACUCCCGUUGAAAUGGUAGCGGAUGAACUGUGGGUAGCGGAGAAAUUCCAAUCGAACCCGGAGAUAGCUGGUUCUCUCCGAAAUAGCUUUAGGGCUAGCCUUGAAAUAGAUUACCGGAGGUAAAGCACUGAAUUGGCUAGGGGCCGAGAGGUUACUGAACCUUAUCAAACUAAGAAUGCCGGAUAAUCGUUUUUCAGGAGUCAGACAGUGGGAGAUAAGUUUCAUUGUCAAAAGGGAAACAGCCCAGACCCACAGCUAAGGUCCCCAAGUAUAGUUAAGUGGAAAAGGAUGUGGAAUUGCACAGACAACCAGGAUGUUGGCUUAGAAGCAGCCACUCAUUAAAAGAGUGCGUAAUAGCUCACUGGUCGAGUGACUCUGCGCCGAAAAUUUAACGGGGCUAAACUAUACACCGAAGCUUGGGAUACAUCUAAUGUAUGGUAGGAGAGCGUUCUGUAUGGGGUGAAGUCGUAGCGAAAGCGGCGGUGGACUGUACAGAAGUGAGAAUGCCGGAAUAAGUAGCGAGAAUUAAGUGAGAAUCUUAAUGGCCGAAAGUCUAAGGUUUUUGGAGGAAGGUUCGUCCGCUCCAAGUAAGUCGGGAGCUAAGGUCAGGCCGAAAGGCGUAGCCGAUGCACAUACGGUUGAUAUUCCGUAACCAUCUGUAAUUUAAGCAAAGGGACACUUCAAAAGGGUGUGACCCGGGCGUUGGUUGACCCGGGCGUAAGGGACCGAAAUUAGAGUAGGGAAGCACACUUGGCUGAAGGCGAGAAAAGCUUUGCGUAUAGAAGCAGAUGCCCGUACCGCAAACCGACACAGGUGGACAGGAAGAGAAUUCUAAGGCCAGCGGGAGAAGGGUAGUUAAGGAACUCGGCAAAUUGACUCCGUAACUUCGGAAUAAGGAGUGCUCGAAAGAGCCGCAGAGAAUAGGCCCAGGCGACUGUUUAGCAAAAACACAGGUCUCUGCCAAAUCGAAAGAUGAAGUAUAGGGGCUGACACCUGCCCGGUGCCGGAAGGUUAAGAGGAGGAGUGAGAGCUCCGAAUUGAAGCCCCGGUAAACGGCGGCCGUAACUAUAACGGUCCUAAGGUAGCGAAAUUCCUUGUCGGGUAAGUUCCG
rnacentral:rRNA from 1 species